rnacentral:ncRNA from 1 species
ACGUCGAGACUACGUCGUUAGUAGGUUUGAUUUAUUCAACUCGACGU